UGGGGAAUAUUGGACAAUGGGCGCAAGCCUGAUCCAGCAAUGCCGCGUGUGUGAAGAAGGUCUUCGGAUCGUAAAGCACUUUCGACGGGGACGAUGAUGACGGUACCCGUAGAAGAAGCCCCGGCUAACUUCGUGCCAGCAGCCGCGGUAAUACGAAGGGGGCUAGCGUUGCUCGGAAUUACUGGGCGUAAAGGGCGCGUAGGCGGCUUAGUGAGUCAGGCGUGAAAUUCCUGGGCUUAACCUGGGGACUGCGCUUGAUACUUCUGGGCUUGAGGCCGAGAGAGGGUGGUGGAAUUCCCAGUGUAGAGGUGAAGUUCGUAGAUAUUGGGAAGAACACCGGUGGCGAAGGCGACCACCUGGCUCGGUACUGACGCUGAGGCGCGACAGCGUGGGGAGCAAACA
rnacentral:rRNA from 1 species